ensembl:lincRNA
GAAGCUAUAUGUGGAAAUUAUCCAUGUAAAAUAGGAUUGCAGGCCAAAGACAGCUUUAUACUACCACCUUGUGGCUGACCUGUUCAUGUGUAUUUUCAGGUUCAUUGCUACAGAGAUAGAAGAGUUGGUAAAAUGUAUGCAAAUCAGCAACAUAUACAUUUUCAUGUCUCCGUCAUUAUACAUGCAUAAAAUGGUAGAGUUGGAGGUGGUUUUGCAGUUUCUUAAACCUUAGGCAAUGAGAAAAACCAUCAGGUUUAAAUAGGGCCGGACUUAAUUAAUUCUCGGAUUAACUUAAUCUGAGUUUAUUUCAGGGUUCUUCAGUGUACUUAGGUUUGCUUCUGACUUCUAGAGGAGUUAUGAUCUAACAAGCAUUGGGUACCGUGUUUCUGAUCCUUUGCUGACUGUAUACAUCUAACUUAAGUCACUCAUUGCUUUAUUCCCUUCUAUAAGACUCCUUCAGGCCCUGGUAUCUGCUUUUGCCAAUUCUAGUCCCAUCGACUGAUGUUUAUCACAAUGAGUCUUAAUUGACUACACAUAUUCUGUCACUGUUCUUCCCUGGGGAGUCACUCCAGGGCUACACUUAGGAGAACAUCUGCUUUGGUCCAUUUUCUAUUCAUAACACAGGGCUGAAAGACUGGGUACAUCAUAAAGAAAAGAGAUUCCUUUUGGUUCAAAGUUGGGUUCUAGGGCUAAGGGAACAAAUUUAGGUAGGGUACUCUAGAUGGCACUGUCCAUAUGUAGAGUCCUUAGGAAAUGGAGGAAAUCAUAUGGCAAGAUAAGGCAAGUCCGCAUGUACGCUCAAUUCUCUCUCUGCCUUAUUAUGGUUAGAAUGAAAAAGUGCCCCCAUAGGCUCAUGUAUUUGCACACUUGGUCACCAUGUUGUAGCACUAUUUGGGAAGUGAUCAAUCCUUUAGGAGGUGUAGCACUGCUGGAGGAAGUGCAUCAUUGGGAGCAGUCUUUGAAGGACUAUAUAUCUAAACCCUUGGAACUAUAAGCCAAAAUAAACUCUCCUUUAAGUUGCUUUUGGUCAUGGUACUUCAUCUCAGCAACAGAAAAAUAACUAAUACAUGUGUACUCCCCAACAUUGUAAAGUCUUCAGCAUUCUCUUUCUCACGGUAGUCUCUAUCGUGGCCUUAUCUCCUCCUAAUCACCGGUAAAGGCCUCACCUCUAAAUACUACAGUUGGAUCAUGUUUCUAUUGUCUGGUUACCUCAUAAUGAUGAAACUUCAUCAUGAGUUUUAUUGGUGACAACACAUACACAAACCAUAAAAACAGCAUGCCCUGACUAGGCCUCCUAAGACCUCAAAAAAGGCUGCUUUCCCUAAUGGGAUUGUAUAUCAGGAUCCUUUUAAGUAGCUCACUUCCCUCCUAUUACGUGGCCUUUCUCCUUCAGGUUUUAGGGAGCCAAAGCUAACCUAAGACAACACUCCUUGAAAUAAAAGGCCACAAAUAACCUAUCUAAAUAAGAAGAGGCUAGAGGGGUAGAAAAUGUGGGUGGUGAGGAGACAAAGGGUGAAAGAAAGUAUCUAUAACAGCAAUUACAAAGCAAUGUGGCUACAUCUUAAGAGUCUACUCUAGUAGGGUAAUUUCACAGACAAAGAGAGUCAUCCAGAGUACCUUACAGAACUCUCUGAGGUAGCAUGCUGGUAUGGCAUGAGUUGUUUGUAAGUAUGCUUAAGUGUUGAUAACACCAGUGCUUGGGCAGCUAGAUAGAAACUGGAGCUGUCCUAGUCAGUUUUCUUGGCCCAAUUGCUUCUGGAUAAGAUGACCCUUAUCUAGAUCUCUUUAUAGUAAUCAGAACACACUCAUUUUUUUAAAUAAAAGUUUUCAUGAAAUUUAGUUUAGCCUCAAAGUCUUUGUGAAGCUGGAGCUGAUCUUGAACUCCUGAUUCUCCUGUUUCCCAUUACUGAGAUUACAGGUAUGUGCCAAUGCCCAGAACAGACUAUGUUAACUUUUUAUUUGUGAGCUAUUGUUGUAUAACAAACCAAACCCAAAACUUACGGCAUACUACAAUGUGCAUUUUAUUUGUCCACGAAUUCUGUGGGCGAAAACUUGGGAUGUAUGUCAAGGAGAGGCUUUUGAUCUUACUUUGGGUCAUAUAUGUGUCUCCUCCACCCCCUUUCUGCAACUUGUUGAAGGCCAUAUUUUUCCAAUAUGUCGUCUUUCAUAUACCUAGCCAUUAGUGUUGAGACUAAUGGUAUGUCCAUAAGCCUUUAUAAGCUAGCUUCCACUCCUUUACAUGGGGGAAGCAGAAUGCCUAACAGUAAGGGAGGCUAAGUACGAAUGCACAAGUAUCAUUCAAACCUCUGGUCCUUGAGGUCACUGUGGUCAAAGAUAAGUUCACAGCUGAAGGGCACAGUCAGUGUAAGUAUGUAAAGAUACGAGUACAAGGAAGUGUGAUUUGUCAGGAGCAAUUCAUGCAAGAACUGCCACAGUGCUAUAAACAAACAUUCCCAACACUCAGUGGCUCCCAUAAUCAAGUGUUAUUUCUCACUAAUGUCAAUCCAAAUUGGUAAGACGACUGCCAGAAUCAUGAUGGAAUCCUGGACUCUUCUAUAUAGUGUAUCUAUUACUGUCCAAGAACUUUCCUCUGACCAGGAAAAGCAGAAAAUGCAGGCAUGACAGAAGGGUUUAGAGACAAAGCCCAGAAGUGGUCUAUGUUUCUUCCAGCAACAUUCCAAUGGGUAACACUUAGCCAUGUGGCUUACAGUUAACUCAAUGUCCAAAAUUUAUAUAAUGUCCAAAAUAUAAUGCACACAUUUAUUGGUGAGCACUACAACUCAUUGACAUGAUUAAUAAUGACAAAUUGAAAUAAAAAGGAACACAAUUAUUUUAAACUAAGUUCUUACACCAGAAUCCAACAAGCCAUAAAGAAAACCCAAGUAAAGUUAUAUGCCACCAAAAUGAAACUAAGUUGUUCCCUGGUUUUGUAAAAUUAUAAGAGGAAAAUGAGAGAUGGAAUCAAAGAGGGAAGGAAAGGAGAGGAGUGGAGAGCAAGAAGGGAAGAGAGAGCAGAUGUGGGGAGGGAGCCAGCACAUUUCCCCAAGAAAGCCAGUUUCAGUUGGCCUGAGAAAAUUUUCUCUACUUUAAUCUUUAUGCCUAAAUCAAUCAAUUAAUAAACAAAACAAAACACCAGAAGCUAGGCAUGCCUACAGUCCCGGCAUUCAGGAGUUUAAGGUGAAAGGACAGUGAGUUUCAGGCUAGCCUGUUCUAUAUAGGAAGACCUC